UACGUAGGGUGCGAGCGUUAAUCGGAAUUACUGGGCGUAAAGCGUGCGCAGGCGGUUCGUUGUGUCGGUGGUGAAAGCCCCGGGCUUAACCUGGGAAUGGCCAUGGAAACUGGCGAACUGGAGUGUGGCAGAGGGGGGUGGAAUUCCGCGUGUAGCAGUGAAAUGCGUAGAGAUGCGGAGGAACACCGAUGGCGAAGGCAGCCCCCUGGGCUAGCACUGACGCUCAGGCACGAAAGCGUGGGGAGCGAACGGG
rnacentral:rRNA from 1 species